CUCAGCUGACGAAUCCCAAAUAGGACGAAAUGCGCAUCCUGGAU
rnacentral:hammerhead_ribozyme from 1 species